GAGCAGGUGAAGCGUCAAUGGUCGUCCAGCUGGAAUGAGUACUAUCGCUACAGAUACUACUACAACAUCUACAAGCAAAAGUACGAUAACCUCAUCCGUUAUCUCCAGGAGUGCCGCCAAGCCCUUAGCUUCUUUGGUUUAACAUUGAGUACUCCAGCUCCUGCGAUUACUAC